rnacentral:rRNA from 1 species
GACGAACGCUGGCGGCGUGCCUAAUACAUGCAGGUAGAACGCACAGUUUAUACCGUAGCUUGCUACACCAUAGACUGUGAGUUGCGAACGGGUGAGUAACGCGUAGGUAACCUGCCUGGUAGCGGGGGAUAACUAUUGGAAACGAUAGCUAAUACCGCAUAAUAUUAAUUAUUGCAUGAUAAUUAAUUGAAAGGUGCAAUUGCACCACUACCAGAUGGACCUGCGUUGUAUUAGCUAGUAGGUGAGGUAACGGCUCACCUAGGCGACGAUACAUAGCCGACCUGAGAGGGUGAUCGGCCACACUGGGACUGAGACACGGCCCAGACUCCUACGGGAGGCAACAGUAGGGAAUCUUCGGCAAUGGACGAAAGUCUGACCGAGCAACGCCGCGUGAGUGAAGAAGGUUUUCGGAUCGUAAAGCUCUGUUGUAAGAGAAGAACGGGUGUGAGAGUGGAAAGUUCACACUGUGACGGUAUCUUACCAGAAAGGGACGGCUAACUACGUG